rnacentral:antisense_RNA from 1 species
AGCCAGGUGCAUUGGGGAAAGCACUGACAUCGGCGUCAGACAGACUUAAGUUCAUAUCUGAUUCUGCUAUAUGACAACGUGUGGGCUAUGUGGCUAACUUCUCAGAGCUUCAGUUUUCCCAAGGGCAAAAUGAAAAUAAUAGAAAUAAUAGAAUCCACCUCACAGGGCUGUGAAAUUAAAGGGGAUGAAAGAUACAUUGGUCCCUGCAGUGGGAAGUUUCCUUGACAAUGCAAUUAUUGAUUCCAGUGAAGGAGCAGCUUUGGCUUAUUAUUCAAGCUUGAGGUCAGGGCUUGAAAACUUGAAAAAUGGAAAAAGGAUUAAGAGAACCUUAUAUUCCUAAAGAGCAAAGGAACAAGCAACAAUUCCUCUGAAAUCUCAUAGUCGAAAGCUAAAGACAGGGGCCUAGGUCAAGCUCAAAGUCACUUAUAGGACUGUGAAAAUCACCUCGGAUUUAAUCUAGGCUUAGCAGCUACAGGAAAAGAACUGAAGAAAGGCCUUGUUUUAUUGUUUUCUGACAGUAAAAUGAAAUAAGACGUUGAAUAUUAUAGAAAGGAUUUUGUAAGUGAAAGGGAGUGGUUGAGAAGAGGCAAAGUGAGUGUUGGAAAGGAUAUUGAAACUUGAAGAACGCUGGAAGAAGAGGUCAAGGGAAUCCUAUGACUGAAAGCAGCAUCAGAGACACAAACAUACUGAUCUUGGAGCCCUGCAAAUACAUCUCUUUAUAUUGAACAUUUUGAGUCUUUUUCUAUUCCUAGGUGUGUUUACUAAAUUAUACAAGUCUGCUAAUUCCAAUUAUCCUAUAAAUGCCCUUCUUAAUUCUUAAAAU